UCAAGGCGAAUAAAACAGUUUACUUGCUGCUUUGAGUAAGGCUUACUUAAAAUAUUCAAGUAGUCACAACAAAACCAAUGACAUGAAUACACCAGUGAGAGGCAGCAGUGCGCUAAUGUGUUGCUAAUGUGCAACAAAACCACAGAAGAAGAAAUGAGGACAGUUAGAGCAUGUACAACAAGCAGUGUUUUGAAUUUGUGCUGACAUCAGUUGGCUCCAGCUAAUUGGUGAAGAAUUUGCUGAAACUGGGAAAAGAAGCAGAGACUGCUUGCAUUUUUACCGCUGGACAAGGAUACUAAGGACAAGUGUUUGUGGCAAGUGCCUUCUCUGAACAGCGGUCUCAUCAGCACAGGCCUCAGUACAUUGGAGAUUUAGGUGGACUCUUCACACCCUACAGCCCCUAAAAUAACCCAGAUUUGACAGGACUGCACACCCAUCUCAGGCCUUCCUGUUUCAUUUUGCGACUACCCCAGAUACUUCUACUACUAACCCGCUUUGUGUCUGAUGCAGUCUGGACACUAAUAUGUGUUGGAUUGCUGACCAUCAUUGAAGAUGAUGUAUUUCUCCAAAUCUUCUCUGCCUUGACCCUGUGUCUUCUGCCAUCAUUGGAUUGCCCUAAUACCAUGAAAAACACUUGGAGGUUCAUUCAAAGUGUGGUGCUUUACUUGGGACAGAACAAAACCCUGAAACUAAAGUGACUUUUUGAACUUUAAUUAUAUAAACCAUUGGCAACGUGUGCAGCCUACCCAGUGCCAUACUUAAACUCAUCCUCCUACUGCUACCUCCACUUCUUACACUAAGCAUACCCUAAAUCAGACUGUUGUUGGUUUGUAUUUAAAACUACACUGAAAACCAUUUAAAAAAUACAUUAUCUUUAACUUUGAAAUGUCACUGCCUUAAAUUUAUGUGUCAUGUGAAUGGAACAUUGUUUUCAUUAAUUUGUAAUGGAUUUUUGAAGCACUUAAGUUACUAGACUAGUUAAAUUACUAGUUACUAUUACUACUUAAAUUACUAGUAAGUCAUUUAAGUGCUUAGUUGCAUUUACUUGAAUAGAAAUCUAAUUUAUUGCUAAAACCAUGCAA